UACGAAGGGGGCUAGCGUUGCUCGGAAUCACUGGGCGUAAAGGGUGCGUAGGCGGGUCUUUAAGUCAGGGGUGAAAUCCUGGAGCUCAACUCCAGAACUGCCUCUGAUACUGAGGAUCUUGAGUUCGGGAGAGGUGAGUGGAACUGCGAGUGUAGAGGUGAAAUUCGUAGAUAUUCGCAAGAACACCAGUGGCGAAGGCGGCUCACUGGCCCGGUACUGACGCUGAGGUGCGAAAGCGUGGGGAGCAAACAGG
rnacentral:rRNA from 1 species